rnacentral:rRNA from 1 species
AUUGAACGCUGGCGGCAUGCCUUACACAUGCAAGUCGAACGGCAGCACGGGAGCAAUCCUGGUGGCGAGUGGCGAACGGGUGAGUAAUAUAUCGGAACGUGCCCGGUCGUGGGGAUAACGUAGCGAAAGCUACGCUAAUACCGCAUACGAUCUACGGAUGAAAGCGGGGGGAUCGCAAGACCUCGCGCGAUUGGAGCGGCCGAUAUCAGAUUAGGUAGUUGGUGAGGUAAAGGCUCACCAAGCCGACGAUCUGUAGCUGGUCUGAGAGGACGACCAGCCACACUGGGACUGAGACACGGCCCAGACUCCUACGGGAGGCAGCAGUGGGGAAUUUUGGACAAUGGGCGCAAGCCUGAUCCAGCAAUGCCGCGUGCAGGAUGAAGGCCUUCGGGUUGUAACUAGCUUUGUUACGGAACGAAACGGUGAGCUCUAAUACAGUUUGCUAAU